GAUGAACGCUGGCGGCGUGCCUAAUACAUGCAAGUCGAACGCUGAAGGAGGAGCUUGCUCUUCUGGAUGAGUUGCGAACGGGUGAGUAACGCGUAGGUAACCUGCCUGGUAGCGGGGGAUAACUAUUGGAAACGAUAGCUAAUACCGCAUGACAACAGUUAUUGCAUGAUAACUGUUUAAAAGGGGCAACUGCUCCACUACCAGAUGGACCUGCGUUGUAUUAGCUAGUUGGUGAGGUAACGGCUCACCAAGGCGACGAUACAUAGCCGACCUGAGAGGGUGGUCGGCCACACUGGGACUGAGACACGGCCCAGACUCCUACGGGAGGCAGCAGUAGGGAAUCUUCGGCAAUGGACGGAAGUCUGACCGAGCAACGCCGCGUGAGUGAAGAAGGUUUUCGGAUCGUAAAGCUCUGUUGUAAGAGAAGAACGAGUGUGAGAGUGGAAAGUUCACACUGUGACGGUAUCUUACCAGAAAGGGACGGCUAACUACGUG
rnacentral:rRNA from 1 species